rnacentral:lncRNA from 1 species
GCAAGAUUUCCUGCUUCCAUGAUGAUGAAAGGCAUGUAGAGUUUGAGCUCACUCCCAGCAGGGAAGACCAGUUUGAGUUUUUUUCCUGCUUCUAGGGUGGUAGAAAGCAGCCUUCAGCCUGAGACCCAUCCCUAGAAGAGAAAGAAAAGAAGGAAAGAAAGCAAGCAAGCAAGAAAGCAAGCAAGCAAGAAAGAAAGAAAGAAAGAAAGAAAGAAAGAAAGAAAGAAAGAAAGAAAGAAAGAAAGAAAAGAAAAAGAAAGAAAAGAAGAGCCUUAAGGUCAACCUACAAACUACAGAGUUCCUAAGUUCUCUUUUUUCUCUAUUUUCUUUUCUGCCUGCUUUAAAUCUGCUGUUAUUUUUCUAUUAAGAUCAAAACCACUGUUUGGAUACAACAGGCUUUUUGUUUGCAACCUGGUGAAUUUGUAUUUGUCUCAUGGCUAAAGUUCUGAAGUAAAAGCUAUAGGAUUUCUGUGUGUGUGUUUGUGUGUGUGUGUGUGUGUGUGUGUGUAUCUAUUUAAAAGGCCUUUAUAAUUUUUAUAAUUUUAUGUUUAAUUGGCAAUUAAAUCCAUUUUGACUUCCCUCUAGCACCACCAGACUUUUUCUCUCUGUACCUUAUGAUAUAAUUUUGCUAUUUGAUUUUUGCCUGAGUUGUUUCCUUUAACAUGCAAACUUAAGGCUAUUUAGCUGACAACUCCCUAGGGGAGUAAAACAGGUUAUUAAGAAUUUGAAAGCCUAAGAUAGGGGAAAAAAGCUCCUUAAGUAUCUAUACGAUGUACUUCUAUCAGCAUGCCUACUAUGUCUAUAUAUUUAUGUGAUGUGUACACAAUUUCUCGCUACUGAAAAUAUAUAAAAGAGUUCUAAUUAAUUGGCUUAAGAUAAAAAGCACUUGAAUCUAAUACUUUAUCAGGAAAAAAGAAAAGACUAGUUGAAUGCUUUCUGAAGUUUAUGUAACAAGUAAAAUCUUUAAUAAAUAAGCUAGCUUUAAAAUUAUUGGUAAAGUAAUAUUAGACAUGUCUUAAAAAUUGCCAGCAUGCAUUUUUGUUUGCAUUUAUUAAUCAAGCAAUUUCAUGCUUAUCCCUGUCAAAUACCAUAAGGUGUCAAAAUUUGCCAUGGAGUUACAAAACUGUAAUAGAAUGAUCUUUGCUUGUAUAAUCUUUAAUAAAUAAGACAUUGAUAUUGGUUUAAUAAAAAUAGUCACAUCUUGAAUUUAGUGAGAUUACUGUAACUUCUAAUUUUGUGGUUUUGGUGGUCUAGUCCACAGGCAGUAAGAUUUAGUUUGAGAAUGAACUGUUAUAAUCUUUGUUUCAAAGGUAAACUAUAAACUAUGUUCCUCUCAACGUCUGUUCAGCCUGUGCCCAGGAUUGAACAAGAACAGUUUGGAGGUUAGAAGCAAGAUGGAGUCAAUUAGGUCAGAUCUUUUUCACUGUCUCAGUUAUAAUUUUGCAAUGGCAGUUCCAUAACUUUAAAUGAUGACUAUUGCAGUUUUCAUAAAUAAUCUAGGUAAACAAUUCCUUUUUAAAAAGGUGAACAAUUGUCAUCUAAUUCAAUGCUUAUUUAAAGAUUAUGUAUAAGACAAGUUAAAAGGAACCAGGAAAUCAGAGAGAUGUAAAGAAAGGUAUAAAAAUAAAGAGGAUAAAGAGGGUUCUUUUUGGUAAGGAAGCUUAAAGAGAAAUAAUUUCAUAUGAGAAAAGAUCUUGUAUGGUAAAUUUAGACCUAAAAUAAAAUGAUUGUUUAAGAAAGAUGGAUGUUCAAAACAAACCAGAAAGUCCAAGCAUAUCAUGAACAGUCUGUAAAAGUCAUAAUAAGAGGAUUAAAAAAAAAACCAACAAACUUUUAUAUGGUCAAGUUGUCUGUAAUUAAAAGGAAAUUAUAAUAGUCUUCCUGAAGAUUGGGCUUCAUGUAAAAAAAAAAAAGCAAUGAUAAACAAAAUAGUUAGAGCGAUGAAAUUUUCUUAAGGGAUUGAUUUACUCUUAUUAAAUUAUAAGAGAUUUUAAUUUUUUUAACCCAAAGUUCAACUGUUUACUCGCUGUUUUCUCUCCCCUUCAACUCGUUUGCAGCUCAUAUAAGUUAUUUUCCUUAAAUUCUAUUUGUUAUGGUCUGAUGCUAACAAUGUUUUCUAAAAGUCUAAAGAAAAUGUUUUCUUCCAAAGUAAUAUUCUGUGCAGUGUAGAAGGUCUUUUCUUUUGCCUUUGGGUAAUUGACCUAACAGAUUUUAUGGCUUAUUGAAACAAUGCUAUGCUGUUAUUAUUAAUUUUUGAUUUGCUCAGGAAAAAGUAUCUGAGAUAAUUUUUUAAAAUUAAGGUUAUUACAUCCAUGUAUAUUUCUGUAGGUGCUUUGAAAGUACCUGUGACAUUAAGUUACAGGCCUUUGACUCCUGGGUCUAAAAAGGACACCAAGGUCUGCUAAAUCUUAAGCACUGACAGCAAUUAAAACCUCAUCUUCAGGCCUGGUAGAAGAUGCCAAUCAAAAUAAACUGCAUUCCUGAGACAUAAGGCCAGAAGUAAAAGCUAUUCAACUCCUCAAGGCUCAGGAACUACCACAGAAGAGUCCUUUUUAGAAGAUGGUUUUAUAAUCAGCUAUAAAACUCUAACACGUGUUCUUGAAGGCAAGUUUCUAAUAACUUUGGAGACUGUGACAUCAGAAUGGAGGAAAAGCUUUCAGAACUCAUGGAGACCUGAAAUGUUCAUGAAUAGCAAGCAGAACAGGAAUUAACUGCAUGAACUGAACUAAUAGAAGAGCAACGUAAUCUUUUUGACUUUUUGCUUAAAAUGUUGCUGCUCCUUGUUUUCCUUUUUUUAGUCAAGGAAACUUUUAUUUGAGCUGUUGUCAGCUUUUAACAAGUUAGUAUACUCCUGUGAAAAAUAUUUGGAGCAUAUUUGUUUCUCUCUACCUGAUUUUCCCCAGAAUUGGAAACUAUCUGUGAGUAUUCUUAACUUAUGGCAAUACAGUUAUUUGCAUAAGUGCAAUAAUAAUCUGUUUUCAUGUGUAACAAGACACAAUUGGAGAAAUUGGUCAUUUUACCAAGGCUUUGACUGGAAUGGUGUGCUCUCCUUUAAGGAAUCAAAUUUGACUUAUGGAGCCAAUAAAAGCCCCUUGGGAGAACUGGCCUCAUACCUUAUCUACACAGUCCCUGUACAGGGUUCCUGACCUGUGGUAAGUAAAGCAUGUCACUUUCUAACAGUUCCAGGAGCCCCAAGUUUAUCUUGGAACCUCAAGAGCAGAGGAAUUCAUGCAACUCAUAGGUAUUUGAUGGUACAAAUCCAUGGCUAGGCUAAGCUUUCCAAAAGUCUUAUCCGAAAUUCCUUCUAUGGAACAAAGUUCUGAUAGGGACAGGGGGCUGAGAAAUUCUAGGCAGAAAAGGGUAGGUCUCUGACAAAACCCCACCUUCAAGCUGAAAAGCCUUAAACCACGGCCCAAAGUGAGAACUUAUAUCCCUGUUUUCCUGCUUGAAAGUUGCCUUUUUCUAAACCACUCAUGGCUCCAUCCUGUCCAUCCUAUGCCUGUGAAGAUGCCAGACUCAGCUGGCAGAGGCAAGAAGCAGCUGGACAUUGGGAACUACAGCUGGACGUCAGAGAGAAGCAGCUUGAUUCAGAGGGACAGCUUGAUGGUGUAAUCUUGGAGAAGAAUCCAGCUGGAUACAGCCUAACUUUGAGGAAGAUUACCUACCCACCCCAUCCUUUUUCAGCUCCGCUUUCUGCUAAGAGCCACUUUCAUCAGCAACAAAAUCCCCCACAUUUACCAUCCUUUGAUUGGUUCAUGUGACCUCACUUUUCCUGGACACAAGACAAGAGCUUGGGAGCCAGGAGAGCAGAUACAAAAGACUGUCACACUGGCCCUCUGCCCUUGCUGGUGGAGGGCAGCUGCCUCACACAAAAAGGCAGAGGCCUCACUGAGCUGUUGACACUUAAGCCAUCCAUGGAAGGCAGAGUUAAAAGAACACUGUAACAUGCCCUCUGGGGCUAUGGGGGUCGCAGGCACCCCCACCUAGAUGCUGCUGUGGGGCCCACACAGAGUUUGCUCCUGCCGGUGGCCAAAAGCACUCACUUUGGCUCCUGCACUGAUUCACCUGCAUGCUUCCUCCCACAAGCAGGGGACUGCAGCAGGUCCCAGUGAGUGAAGUUUGAUCCUACCGUGCUGCAGUGCCGAUUCCAGCACACGUGCACUCCAGUUCCUGCCUCAUUUGCUUGCAUGCUCGCUCCUGCAAGGAGUUGAGAGUGGCAGGCUGAAUAAACGAGGCACCCGUCACAAGUCCCACAAAGGGGUCAGGGAAACAUCCUGCUUCAGUUCCAUCAAAGGCAAUUUAAAAGCUUAUGCAAAAAAAAAGUAUUACUAUGGCUGCGCUGUAUACAAAUAAUCAGGUCAAGUAUAAUAAAGAAAAUCAGCCCUGCCAUGAUUUGUCUUUAGUAAAAAUGGGAAAUGGGAGAGAGAAGAAUUAUGUUUCAAAAAAUGAUAAUACACCUGUUGUUAGAUUCUAGUCUUGCCUAAUGUUUUCCCAUUUUUAUUAUUUUCUACAGUUUCCACUGAAUUCUAAUUUUUCUUGGCUACAGGUCUUCAAAAGAUUGUUUUCAGUUUUUUUUUCUUCUUCUUUCCCCCAUUUUUCCUAAUUUGGAGUCACUGAAAACUCAUCUGUGCUUUUGUAAAGCCCUGCGAACUGGAGCUAGAGAAUUUAAACUUCAGAAGAAAAUACCAGCAACCUGUUUACAUACAUAAGCCACUUUCAUACCUGCCUACUGAUGUAUGGACUUCAGAGUAAUGUGGCCCAUAUUGAUUUUCCAGGAUUGUUCUUUUGUUUAUUUUUGUUUUUCUCCCUUCCUCCCCCUAUUUUCUCUUCAUAGGACAUGAAACUUCACAACCUGCUAAAAAUGAACUUUCCUAAUAACUCAGGAAUUAUCUUUCUAGGAAUAAACAAUCCUAGCCAUGAGAUAUCAGAUGAAACUUGAGACCAAAGACUGACUUUCUUCAAAAAGGCUUUCUCAAAAAGAUUUUUAAGAAAAGGGGGGAAAUUUGAAAGGAAAAUAAACCUUGGGGCCCUGAAAUCACUAAGGUAAAGGGGAAAGUCAAGCUGGGAACUGCUUAGGGCAAACCUGCCUCCCAUUCUAUUCACAGUCACCCCUCUGCUCACUGAGUUAAAUGCAUAUCUGAUUGCCUCCUUUGGAAAGGCUAAUCAGAAACUCUAAAGAAAGCAACCAUUUGUCUCUUAUCUACCUAUGACCUGGAAGCCCCUCCCCGCUUAGACUUGUCCCGCCUUUUCCGGACGGAACCACUGUUCAUCUUACAUAUGUUGAUUGAUGUCUCAUGUCUCCCUAAAAUGUAUAAAACCAAGCUGUGCUCUGACCACUUUGGGCACAUGUCUUCAGAACCUCCUGAGGCUGUGUCACAGGUGUACAUCCCCAACCUUGGCAAAAUAAACUUUCUAAAUAAACUGA